rnacentral:pre_miRNA from 1 species
AUCCCCUGGGGAUCUUGCUAAAAUUAGCAGGUUCUGAUUCACUAAGUCUGGGUGGGGCCUGAGAUUCUGCAUUUCUAACAAGCUCCUAGGUGAUGCUGA